rnacentral:misc_RNA from 1 species
GAUGAAGAACGCAGCGAAAUGCGAUAAGUAAUGUGAAUUGCAGAAUUCAGUGAAUCAUCGAAUCUUUGAACGCACAUUGCGCCCGCCAGUAUUCUGGCGGGCAUGCCUGUCCGAGCGUCAUUUCAACCCUCAAGCCCCCGGGCUUGGUGUUGGGGAUCGGCGAGCCUCCGCGCCCGCCGUCCCCUAAAUCUAGUGGCGGUCUCGCUGUAGCUUCCUCUGCGUAGUAGCACACCUCGCACUGGGAAACAGCGCGGCCACGCCGUUAAACCCCCAACUUCUGAACGUUUGACCUCGGAUCAGGUAGGAAUACCCGCUGAACUUAAGCAUAUCAAUAAGCGGAGGA